CUUCGGUUAUAUUGAGAGCGGCGCACGGGUGAGUAACGCGUACAUGACCUACCCUUAAGAAGGGAAUAGCCCUGGGAAACUGGGAUUAAUGCCCUAUAGUAUUGUUGAUGUUAGAGGUUGACAAUUAAAGUUGAGGCGCUUAAGGAUGGAUGUGCGUCUGAUUAGCUAGUUGGUGAGGUAGAGGCUCACCAAGGCGACGAUCAGUAGGGGGCGUGAGAGCGUGAUCCCCCACACGGGUACUGAGACACGGACCCGACUCCUACGGGAGGCAGCAGUAAGGAAUAUUGGACAAUGCUCGCAAGAGUGAUCCAGCCAUUCCGCGUGCAGGAUGACUGCCCUAUGGGUUGUAAACUGCUUUUAGAUAGGAAGAAAGUGUGAUAUUCAUAUCAUUUUGACGGUACUAUCAGAAUAAGGACCGGCUAACUCCGUGCCAGCAGCCGCGGUAAUACGGAGGGUCCAAGCGUUAUCCGGAAUCACUGGGUUUAAAGGGUGCGUAGGCGGAUAACUAAGUCUAAGGUGAAAGUCUGUGGCUUAACUAUAGAAUUGCCUUGGAUACUGGUUAUCUUGAAUUGGGUUGAGGAUUGCGGAAUGUGACAUGUAGCGGUGAAAUGCAUAGAUAUGUCAUAGAACACCAAUUGCGAAGGCAGCGAUCUGGGCCUUGAUUGACGCUGAGGCACGAAAGCGUGGGGAGCGAACAGGAUUAGAUACCCUGGUAGUCCACGCCCUAAACGAUGCUAACUCGAUGUUUGGACUUUAGUUUGAGCAUCCAAGGGAAACCGUUAAGUUAGCCACCUGGGGAG
rnacentral:rRNA from 1 species